AACGAACGCUGGCGGCAUGCCUAACACAUGCAAGUCGAACGAGACCUUCGGGUCUAGUGGCGCACGGGUGCGUACCGCGUGGUAACCUGCCCUUAGGUUCGCAAUAACUCCCCGUAAGGGGUCCUAAUACCGGAUAAUGUCUUCGGACCAAAGAUUUAUCGCCUUUGGAUGGGCCCGCGUUGGAUUAGCUAGUUGGUAGUGUAAAAGCCUACCAAGGCGACGAUCCAUAGCUGGUCUGAGAGGAUGAUCAGCCACACUGGGACUGAGACACGGACCAGACUCCUACGGGAGGCAGCAGUGGGGAAUAUUGGACAAUGGGCGAAAGCCUGAUCCAGCAAUGCCGCGUGAGUGAUGAAGGCCUUAGGGUUGUAAAGCUCUUUUACCCGGGAUGAUAAUGACAGUACCGGGAGAAUAAGCUCCGGCUAACUACGUG
rnacentral:rRNA from 1 species